GACGAACGCUGGCGGCGUGCUUAACACAUGCAAGUCGAACGGAAAGGCCCUGCUUUUGUGGGGUGCUCUACUUGCGAACUGGUGAGUAACACGUGAGUAACCUGCCCUUGACUUUAGUAUAACUUCAUAAAACUGGGUCUCAUACCGGAUAGGAUCUCCUGCUGCAUGGUGGGGGUUGGAAAGUUUCGGCUGUUGGGGAUGGACUCGCGGCGUAUCAGAUUGUUGGUGGGGUAGUGGCUUAGCAAGGCUUGGACGGGUAGCCGGCCUGAGAGGGUGACCGGACAAGUUGGGACUGAACUGCGGCACAGACUACUACGGGACGGAACAGUGGGGUAUAUAACACAAUGGGAGGAAGCAUGAUGCAGCAAAGCCGCGUGCGGGAUGACGGCAUGCGGGUUGUAAACCGAUUUCGCCUGUGACGAAGCGUGAGUGACGGUAAUGGGUAAAGAAGCACCGGCUAACUACGUG
rnacentral:rRNA from 1 species